rfam:Rattus norvegicus chromosome 6, whole genome shotgun sequence.
GGGGAUUUAGCUCAGUGGUAGAGUGCUUGCCUAGCAAGCACAAAGCCCUGGGUUCGGUCCCCAGCUCCG